rnacentral:tRNA from 1 species
GUAAGGUUGGCCGAGUGGUUUAAGGCGUCAGAUUUAGGUGUAACUCGUUCAAUCGGGRUCACAUUGUGAARAUUUACCAUUUUCACUAAACAUUCUGAUAUCUCCGGAUGCGCGAGUUCGAAUCUCGUAUCUUACA